UAGUACUAUACUUUCAGGGAUCAUUUCUAUAGUAUCCAACUAGAGAAAUUCACUCGAAAGUGAUCGGCUGAGUA
rnacentral:snoRNA from 1 species